GAUGAACGCUGGCGGCGUGCCUAAUACAUGCAAGUCGAGCGAACAGACGAGGAGCUUGCUCCUCUGACGUUAGCGGCGGACGGGUGAGUAACACGUGGAUAACCUACCUAUAAGACUGGGAUAACUUCGGGAAACCGGAGCUAAUACCGGAUAAUAUAUUGAACCGCAUGGUUCAAUAGUGAAAGACGGUUUUGCUGUCACUUAUAGAUGGAUCCGCGCCGCAUUAGCUAGUUGGUAAGGUAACGGCUUACCAAGGCAACGAUGCGUAGCCGACCUGAGAGGGUGAUCGGCCACACUGGAACUGAGACACGGUCCAGACUCCUACGGGAGGCAGCAGUAGGGAAUCUUCCGCAAUGGGCGAAAGCUUGACGGAGCAACGCCGUGUGAGUGAUGAAGGUCUUCGGAUCGUAAAACUCUGUUAUUAGGGAAGAACAAAUGUGUAAGUAACUAUGCACGUCUUGACGGUACCUAAUCAGAAAGCCACGGCUAACUACGUG
rnacentral:rRNA from 1 species